rnacentral:lncRNA from 1 species
UUCUUGUUUAGGUAGUUGGCAACUUGUAUGAAUUGGUUCAGGUAGUUGUUUAUUUUUUGCACAAAUUGAUUUUGUGUAGGUUUUUUUGUGAUUUCACUGUAAGUAUUUGUCUGGGGUUUUGGUAAUUGGUAAAUAAAAUCUGUUCAUUUAGGUAUAUGUUGCUCUGGUCUAAGUUGGAUAUUGAAAGGUUUGAGUUUUUUGGCUUGGUGAGUAGUUA